rnacentral:piRNA from 1 species
UACUUGGGAACCUGAGGUACAUGCAAG